rnacentral:rRNA from 1 species
GUGAGGAAUUUUCCGCAAUGGGCGAAAGCCUGACGGAGCAAUGCCGCGUGAAGGAUGAAGGCCUAUGGGUUGUAAACUUCUUUUCUCAGAAAAGAAUUAUGACGGUAUCUGAGGAAUAAGCAUCGGCUAACUCUGUGCCAGCAGCCGCGGUAAGACAGAGGAUGCAAGCGUUAUCCGGAAUGAUUGGGCGUAAAGCGUCUGUAGGUUGUUUAAAAAGUAUUCUGUCAAAGAUUAGGGCUUAACCCUAGAUAGGCAGAAUAAACUUUUAAGCUAGAGGUUGGUAGAGGCAGAGGGAAUUCCCGGGGGAGCGGUGAAAUGCGUAGAUAUCGGGAGGAACACCAAAGGCGAAGGCACUCUGCUGGGCCAAUACUAACACUGAGAGACGAAAGCGAGGGGAGCAAAUGGGAUUAGAUACCCGAGUAGUCC